GAAUGGAAAAAUGUAGGCAAAAAAGGCAAGUUGAAACUACAGAUGAAUUGGAGAAUUUUUGUUUCAGAUCAGCUAUUUUUGUAGCCCUCCCAACAGUCCUGAUUUCCGCCCAUUAUGGGUGUCUGUAGUGAUGCCUCAGGGGCUCUCCCCCCACACCCCAGUUUUGCAGGACAUAUGUCGGGAGAUUUGAUUUGUCCCUCAUUUUCUCAGUUUGGAUUUAAUUUGCGAAAAGAUUCAUAGUUUAGUGAAUAACCCUGUUAGAUUUCAGGCAGUGAUUGUUCCAUCUUUUUUUUUUUUUCAAUGUUGACAGACUCAAAUAUCAGAUGUUUGAGAGAUCGUGGUUUAGUAUCCCUUUAAAAGCAGUAAGCAGGUGCAGAGCUACUAUGGCACAUUCUCACCAGCACAAUCUGCUGUUUGCUUCAUGUCAAAAGAGUCUGCAGCCAACCAGUGCCUAUUCCUCCAAAAACAACGAAUUACUUGCUGUAUCGCAUUAGUUCUUGGUUUUGUAUAUCAGUAACUGCAGGUAAUCCUUCCCAAGUUCCAUGAUGUUUCUUGGAAUUUGCUUGGAUGCAUAUGGUCACUAGGGGGUGCUCUUGUACAGCUACAGUAUAUCUCAGUGCCUGUUUCUCUGUAUAAAUGUAUGGUAUUCACAGUAAAACCAUUUAGAUUGUAUUGGUCAGAAACACGUCAUUCCCUUGUUGUAAAGACUGUCCUUAGAGCAACAGUUUCCUAAUGCUGUCUUACUUAAACAUCCAGUAUCUAAGGUUAUUUAACUUGUCUGUGGAAACUAUUGGGGCUUAUUCACUGACUUAAGGAUUGCAGAAAAUGUAUGAGAAUUUGAAAUAUUGGGCCAAACAGGGGAAUUGUAAAAAUUCUGCAACUCAUUAGCCUACAAUUUGAAAGGACUGGUGUCAGUUCUCCACAAUUCACAAUUAAGUGAAUAAACCGCUAAAAUGAUAAUAUUACAUACAACACGUACAAAACACAGC